rnacentral:misc_RNA from 1 species
CUGUUAUAUGUGGCAAUGACUCGUGCUAGAAAGAAACUAUUCAUUCUGUAUGUCACGAUGGAUUCAAAUCGGCAGAUGCUUCAACCAUCACGUUUUCUCAAGGAAAUUCCGGAUCAUCUUCGAGAGAUUCAGGCUGAAGUGUGUUUACGUGAUUUACAAACAAAACCCCAGGAUAUUCCAAAACACAGUGUCAACAUUACCAGUAUUCUACCCGGAGAA